rnacentral:rRNA from 1 species
CCUACGGGUGGCAGCAGUGAGGAAUAUUGCACAAUGGGGGAAACCCUGAUGCAGCAACGUCGCGUGAGUGAGGAAGUAUCUCUGUAUGUUAAGCCCCAUCUGCAGGGAAUAGAAAAGCCGCUACCUUGAAGAUUAGCCCCGGCUCACUACGUGCCAGCAGCCGCAGUAAUGCGUAGGGGGCAAGCGGUAUCCGGAUUUACUGGGUGUAAAGGGAGCGUAUACGGAAAGGCGAUUCAGAAGGGAAAGCCUAAGGCUCAAACAUGGGCGUGCGUUUGAAACUGUCAAACUAGAGUACGGGAGAGGUAAGAGGAAUGCGUAGUGUAGCGGUGAAAUGCGUAGAUAUUACGAAGAACACCAGUGGCGAAGGCAUCUUACUGGAGCGAAACUGACGUUGAAGCACGAAGGCGUGGGGAGCGAACAGGAUUAGAUACCCUAGUAGUC